rnacentral:lncRNA from 1 species
AGCUUCCAUCCGGGCUGUAACCAAUCCUCGCUCGUCCGCCUCUUCUAUUGGCUGCUUUUCUAUCUUCCUCUCUUCUCUCCUUCCUCUCAUCCUGAUUUCCCUCUUCUAUUUUCUAUCUUCUUUAUUUUUGGCCUAUUUUCUUCCCUAUUUUCUUCUUUUUCUUCCCUAUUUUCUAUCUUCUUUUUUGCCUAUUUUCUUCUCAUUUUUUCCCUGUUUUCUUCUUUUUUUUCCCUAUUUUCCUCUUUUUUCCCAAUUUUCUUCUUUUUAAUUUGCUUUUUUUUUGGCUUAUUUUCUUUUUUCUUUUUCUUUUUGCUUAUUUUCUUUUUUCUUUUUUUUUGCUUAUUUUCUUUUUUCUUUUUUUUUUUGCUUAUUUUCUUUUUUCUUUUUUUUGCUUAUUUUCUUUUUUUUGCUUUUUUUUUUCCUUUUUUGGCUUAUUUUCUUUUUUUGCUUUUUUUUUUUUUCCUUUUUUUGCUGUUUUUUUUCUUUUGGCUUAUUUUUUCUUUUUUCUUUGCUUAUUUUUUUUCUUUUUUUUUUUUGCCUAUUUUCUUCUUUUUUCCCUAUUUUCUUCCUUAUUUUCCCCCUAUUUUCUUCUUCUUUUUUUUGCCUAUUUUCUUAUUUUUGCCUAUUUUCUUGCUUAUUUUUCCCCUAUUUUCUUCUUUUUUUCCUAUUUCCUCUUCUUUUUUUCUAUUAUUCCCUAUUUUUUCCUCUUCUUUUUUUCCAUUAAUCUCCAAUUUUCCUUUUUUCUUUCCAUCGUUUCCUCCUCUCUUUCAUUGUUUUUUGGCCAUUAUUUCCUCUUUUGCUCCCGUUUCCAUUUUGAACCAAAAAGUCCUUUUUUCUCCUCUAAAUCCUCCCUGCCUCGUCGCCGCCUCCGCUCUUCCCGGCUCUGAAAUGCCAAAUUCUCCUAAAACGCCCCCAAAACAGCUCCAACGGGGACCAAAACGCCUUUUCUCCUCCUCCUCUUGCCACGUUUUGGGUUAAGAAUGCAGCUUUUUUGGCUGUGUUGCCAUGGGGGGGCCGGGCUUGGGGCCACGUCGGCGUGAAGCCGUCGCUCACCUCGCUCUGCACCUCCUUCCAUUUCCGCACUGCCACCCAGUUUUGUUUCCUCCAUCUUGCUCACUUCUCCC